AUUGAACGCUGGCGGCAGGCCUAACACAUGCAAGUCGAGCGGAUGAAGGGAGCUUGCUCCUGGAUUCAGCGGCGGACGGGUGAGUAAUGCCUAGGUAUCUGCCUGGUAGUGGGGGAUAACGUCCGGAAACGGGCGCUAAUCCCGCAUACGUCCUGAGGGUGAAAGUGGGGGAUCUUCGGACCUCACGCUACCAGAUGAGCCUAGGUCGGAUUAGCUAGUUGGUGGGGUAAAGGCCUACCAAGGCGACGAUCCGUAGCUGGUCUGAGAGGCUGAUCAGUCACACUGGAACUGAGACACGGUCCAGACUCCUACGGGAGGCAGCAGUGGGGAAUAUUGGACAAUGGGCGAAAGCCUGAUCCAGCCAUGCCGCGUGUGUGAAGAAGGUCUUCGGAUUGUAAAGCACUUUAAGUUGGGAGGAAGGGCAGUAAGUUAAUACCUUGCUGUUUUGACGUUACCAACAGAAUAAGCACCGGCUAACUUCGUG
rnacentral:rRNA from 1 species